rnacentral:rRNA from 1 species
AGAGUUUGAUCCUGGCUCAGAGUGAACGCUGGCGGCGUGCCUAAUACAUGCAAGUCGAACGCGAAAGUCCUUCGGGAUGAGUAAAGUGGCGCACGGGUGAGUAAUACAUAAGAACAUGCCCUUAGAUGGGGAAUAACGUUUGGAAACGAACGCUAAUACCGCAUAGUCUCGCAAGAGUAAAGGUGGCGCCGUAAGGGCUACCGUCUAAGGAUUGGCUUAUGUCCCAUUAGCUAGUUGGCGGGGUAAUGGCCCACCAAGGCAACGAUGGGUAUGUGGUCUGAGAGGAUGAUCACACACACUGGAACUGAGACACGGUCCAGACUCCUACGGGAGGCAGCAGUAGGGAAUAUUGCACAAUGGAGGAAACUCUGAUGCAGCAACGCCGCGUGAGUGAAGAAGGCCCUUGGGUCGUAAAGCUCUUUAGCGAGGGAAGAAGCUGUGUACGGUGAAUAAUCGUGCAUGGUGACGGUACCUCGAGAAUAAGCACCGGCUAAUUUCGUGCCAGCAGCCGCGGUAAUACGAAAGGUGCAAGCGUUACUCGGAAUCACUGGGCGUAAAGCGCGCGUAGGCGGACUCGUAGGUCAAUUGUGAAAUACCUGGGCUCAACCCAGGAACUGCAGUUGAAACCGCUUGUCUUGAAUACUUGAGAGGGUGGGGGAAUACCUGGUGGAGAAGUGAAAUUCGUAGAGAUCAGGUGGAACACCGGAGGCGAAGGCGCCUGCCUGGCAAUGUAUUGACGCUGAGGCGCGAAAGUGCGGGGAGCAAACAGGAUUAGAUACCCUGGUAGUCCGCACCGUAAACGAUGGAUACUAGGCGUUCGGAGAGUUAACCCUCUGAGUGCCAAAGUUUACACAUUAAGUAUCCCGCCUGGGAAGUACGGUCGCAAGACUAAAACUCAAAGGAAUUGACGGGGGCCCGCACAAGCGGUGGAGUAUGUGGUUUAAUUCGAAGCGACGCGCAGAACCUUACCUGGCCUUGACAUCGCGAGACAUCCGCAGAGAUGCGGCUUUCCCUUCGGGGACUCGUAGACAGGUGCUGCAUGGCUGUCGUCAGCUCGUGUUGUGAAAUGUUCGGUUAAGUCCGGCAACGAGCGCAACCCCUGUCCUUAGUUACCACCAUUAAGUUGGGGACUCUAGGGAGACCGCCGGUGUUAAACCGGAGGAAGGCGGGGAUGACGUCAAGUCCUCAUGGCCCUUACGGCC